rnacentral:tRNA from 1 species
GUUGGGUUGGUGCAAUUGGUAGCAUUUUGAUCUCCAAAAUCAAAGAUCAGAGUUCAAGUCUCUGGCCCUUCGCCA